rnacentral:rRNA from 1 species
GAUGAACGCUAGCGGCGGGUUUAAUACAUGCAAGUCGAGGGGUGGUAGCAAUACUACACCGGCGCACGGGUGCGUAACGCGUAUGCAACCUACCUAUAUCUGGGGGAUAACCCGGGGAAACCCGGAUUAAUACCGCAUAAGUAAGUAACACGGCAUCGAGUAGCUUUGAAAGAUUUAUCGGAUACAGAUGGGCAUGCGUAAGAUUAGAUAGUUGGCGAGGUAACGGCUCACCAAGUCUACGAUCUUUAGGGGCUCUGAGAGGAGAAUCCCCCACACUGGCACUGAGAUACGGGCCAGACUCCUACGGGAGGCAGCAGUAGGGAAUAUUGGGCAAUGGGCGCAAGCCUGACCCAGCCACGCCGCGUGCAGGAAGAAGGCCCUCUGGGUUGUAAACUGCUUUUGACCGGGAAGAAAAGAAUCUUUGCGAAGAUAGUUGACGGUACCGGCAGAAUAAGCCACGGCUAACUACGUGCCAGCAGCCGCAGUAACAC